rnacentral:rRNA from 1 species
CCUACGGGCGGCAGCAGUGGGGAAUAUUGCACAAUGGGGGAAACCCUGAUGCAGCGACGCCGCGUGAAGGAAGCAGUAUUUCGGUAUGUCAACUUCUAUCAGCAGGGAAGAAAAUGACGGUACCUGACUAAGAAGCCCCGGCUAACUAAGUGCCAGCAGCCGCGGUACUACGUAGGGGGCAAACGUGCUACGGAUUUACUGGGUGUAAAGGGAGCGUAGGCGGCGAUGCAAGUCAGAAGUGAAAGCCCGGGGCUCAACUCCGGGCCUGCUUUUGAAACUGGAUGGCUAGAUUGAAGGAGAGGCAAGUGGAAUGCCUGGUGUAGCGGUGAAAUGCGUAGAUAUUAGGAGGAACACCAGUGGCGAAGGCGGCUUGCUGGACUGUAAAUGACGCUGAGGCUCGAAAGCGUGGGGAGCAAACAGGAUUAGAUACCCGAGUAGUC